rnacentral:lncRNA from 1 species
CUCAUUCUCGUUCCUGCUGCCUUGUGAAGAGGUGUCUUCUGCUAUGAUUGUAAGUUUCCUGAGGUCUUCCCUAGCCAUGUGGAACUGUCCAGGAAUACAAAUGCUGAUGUGAUGCUAUUCAGAUCCUUAAGAUGAUAUGCCAAGCAGCUGGGAAGCAAAGAUGAGGAAGACAUGACCCUGUCCUGGAAAAGCUUCUUGACUUGAAGGUAGGGAAAGAGCUGACAGCAUUUUUAUAUUUUCUGCAUCUACUGCAGACAACAAUGUCCUGUACAUCUGGCCAAAGGCCAAUCUCUAGUAGGCUAAUUUCUGUAUGCUGGUGAGAUGAGCAAAACACAUGGAAUCUCAGUUGACAAAUAAUUCAAGCAGGUUAAUCACUUCAUGCUCAUGUUACCCCACUUGGUCUCCUUGAAAGAUCUUUUCCUUGGGUUUGGGCUAAAGACUGUUUGUUUUACUGACCUCAGUGACUCACUCUGGGAUUGGCUAGUCUAGAUUCUAAGAAUGCUCAGUUUCCUUCUUUUCAAAACAAAAUCUCAAUAUCUAUUAAAGAACUAAAACGUUAUUUUAAGUGCAGUAAUCAAUAAGCCUGAAGAAUAAUGUUUGGAGUGUUUAUGGUUGUGUUGAAUGACUUGUAUUUUCAAAAUGUGCUCCUAUGGAAAAACUACUUUUAAUUUGAAUGCUUAAUAUUUACAAGCUGCAAAAAGAUUCAGAAUUAAUCAUAUUUCUACAGUAACAGUGAUGAAAAAACCCCAUUGUUAUAAUGAUUUGUUUAAUUUCCAUUCAUAAUUCAGCCACCAUACUGUAAUUCUACAGUUGUAUUUAUCUUCCCUGUGUACUCUUCCUCCAGUCUGUUUCUCCUCCUGUUUUCUAGCCUACUGCUGCUAAUUGCUCUCCCUCUAAUCAGCAAGAAUCUGAACAUUUGAAGCCUUUUCCUUUGGCUCUUCCCUUUCUUUUGCCUCUAUUAUCUGGUCAUUAUUAAAAUCAUAUCUUGCCAUUUGCCUUCCUCAAAUACAUUAUUUUAUAUUUUAUCAGUAAGAAAAUCCAGUUUUAAAUUAUCUAUAUGGCUUUGCAAAUAAAGACUACAUCUCCCGGUAUUUCCGUAUAGCUAGAUGUGCUUAUAUGUUUUAGUUCUGAACAAUGAGAUGUAAGCAGAAAUGCUAUUCAGAAGCUUCCAGGAAGCUUCUUAGAAGGCAUUGUGGGUGCCAUUUGUCAUUGUCUUUUUUGUCUCUUUCUACUAUGUGCUCCCUGCCUGGAGCAAAAGCAGCCAUUUUGAGACAUGAGGCAACAUGCUAAUAAGCAUAGUGGAACAGCAAGGUGGGAGAAUGGUUGCUGGCCAAUGGAAAGCUGACAUACCAGCCCUGAACUGCUUAAUUCUGCAUUUAUUUCAUAUGAGAUAUAAAUAAAUUUGUCUUUAAAAAUCAGUUUUAGGUUCUCUGUUACAUGAAUCAAAUCUAGUCCUAAUUAAUACUCUUUCCUUAUACUUUUUUCCCAUUCUUGCCAUUCUCACUAUUGUUAUUAAUGCCACAGGAAAUUGAAAAGCAAUGGAAUGCAGACAAUGUGAUGAAGCCUUAGCAGCACAGGCUUUGGAGUAAUUUCUUUUUUCAGUCUUUGCUCUAUGUGUAACUUUACCUCUCUGUGCCUUAGUUUCCUCAUUGUUAAAUGGAGACUUCAUACAUUUAUUGUCAGGAAUAAAUGAGAUAAUGCAUAUGAAAAAAAUCAUAUGUAUAGUGCCUGGUGGUAAGAGCUGUAUGAAGGGUAGCUCCCUUAAUAUUAUCAUCUUGUUUAGUUUGACCUAAGGGAGAGAUAGUAGAACAAAUGCCAUUGAACACAAUAUACUGAUUGAAUAGUUUAGUAAAUAUUAACCUGCCAUUCACCCUCUUCUCAGCUCAAUCAUUUUUAUAGUUAUACUGAAAUUUUAUAUUUGGCAUGUUUAUAUUUACAUUUAAACUAAGGUGCCCAAAUUUAUAGGCCAUGCUAAAUUAUAGACUCAUAGUAACCAUGCUGUACACAUUAUUGAUGUGGCAUAUUUCUCAAAAUCUUUUUCUGGGAUGAUCUUUUAUACCAUCUUCUUUGGCAGGGAAGCAUCUUGUACCCAAGUCUUAUAUUAUCUUCUAUAAUAUUUACCAUACCUGGAGGUUUAUUCUGCUUGUAUAAUAUUUACCAAAUCUGGAGGUUUAUUCUCUACUUUUUUUUCAUGUACACAUAAGCCUGUGAAACAGAAUGUUCUUCAGCAACAGCCUGAUUCCCAGAUUAAAAUACUCAGCCCAACACUUAUAUCAGAUCUCACACUUCCUCUUUUCUUUUCAAAGAUCUUUUCAAAAUUAAAAAAAAAAUCUUUAUCCCAAUAGUGUUCAUGACAUAGCUCAAAUAUGCUAGCUACAUUGUUGAACAGUCUUAUCCUUUUUCUUUUUUUGGAUACAGGGUCUUGCUCUGUCGCCAAGGCUGGAGUGCAGUGGUGCUUUCUCAGCUCACUGCAGCUUGAUCUUCUGGGUUCAAGCAAUCCUCCCACCUCAGCCUCCUGUGUAGUGGGGACCACAGGUGUGUGCCACCUCAACUGGCUAAUUUUUUUUUUUUUUUUUAUUUUUCGUAGAGAUAGUUUUCGUCAUGUUGCCCAGGCUGGUCUUGAACUCCUGAGCUCAAGCAAUCCAACUGCUUCGGCCUCCCAAAGUGCUGGGAUUACAGGCAUGAGCCAUCAUGCCCAGCCGAUAGACUUAUUCUUAACAGUAAUUUAUUAAAACAUAUUCAAUUAUAUUUUAAAUAUUAUUUAAAAUGUGAAAGUCACUGACAAAAAUCUCUCUGCAAGAAACUGUGUGCAGUAACUAAGCUCACAAAUAGGCAAAGUCUUUACAAGUAUUUAACUUAAAUUAAAUUUAAAUUUUGUUUAAUAAUUUUAUUUUAACUUAAAUUUUGUUAUCUUUUUGUGGAUUUAUGGGGUACAAGGGCAGUUUUGUCACAUGGAUAUAUUGCAUAGUAGUAAAGUCUAGGCUUUUAGUGUAACCAUCACCCGAAUAGUGUACAUUGUACCAAUUAGGUACUUUCAUCUCUCAUCUCCAUCCUGGUCUCUCACCUUUCAAGUCUCUAAUGUCUAUUAUUCUACUUUCUAUGUCCCCAUGUGUACAAAUAAUUCAGUUCCCACUUAGAACAUGCAGUAUUUGAUUUUCUGUGUCUGAGUUAUUUAAGAUAAUGGCCUCCAAUUCCAUCUAUGUUGCUGCAAAAGACAUGAGUUAGUUCUUUUCUAUGGCUGAGUUAUAUUCCAUGGUGUGUAUAUAUAUAUACACACACACACACAUAUAUAUAUAUGUGUGUGUAUAUAUAUAUACACACACACACACACACACACACAUAUGUGUGUGUAUAUAUAUAUACACCGAAUUUUCUUUUUAUAAUUGUUGAUACACACACACAUAUGUGUGUGUGUAUAUGUGUGUAUAUAUGUAUAUAUAUGUGUAUACAUAUGUAUAUAUGUGUAUAUGUGUAUAUAUGUAUAUAUAUGUGUAUAUAUGUGUGUAUAUAUGUAUAUAUAUGUGUAUAUAUAUGUAUAUAUGUGUGUGUGUGUGUGUAUAUAUAUAUAUAUACACCGAAUUUUCUUUUUAUAAUUGUUGAUGGACAUUUAGGUGAAUUUCAUAGUAUUUUUAUUUUGAAUUCAGCUAUAACUCACAAUUACAAUGAUCGGUGGCCCAACAACUGGAGUAGAUUUCACCAUUACUCUAGUCCAAGUGCUCUACUUAUCUGCUUUUCCCAUUUUACUUCCUAAGUCCUAAGUCCUGCACAUUGCUGUGAAGUCAUUCUCUUACUCAAAACUUUGGCUCACACAGUUGUCUUCUCCUUGGCUGUCUCUUUAUUAUAGUCUUUAUUCUUCCAGAUAAAUUGCAUCAACAAACACCAUUAAACCUGAUACCUGCAGUCAAAAGUGAUAUUUCACUAUUCCAUAAUAUUUUCCUUGGGCAAAACACCAAAAGCUAAUCUUUUAAAAAUUAUUAUAUUUUGCCCCCAAAUUCUCAACAUUCUUAUUUAUAAUUGCUAAAACUGAACAGGAGUAGGCUGGGCCCCUUCCCAGGCCUCUGCUAUGUUGAGUGAUUUUUUCUUUUUUUCUUAAGGUAAUAAUGAGAGUGGUGGAGCAGGAGGUCAGAAAGCAAAGACCCAGUGAUUUGAACAGAGGCAAAAGCCAUGAACAAAAAAAUUGGAGAAGUCAGAGAAAGAAAUUGAAGUUGGAGUUGACCCAAAGUUUGUCUUAUUGGAUUAAUGACUAAGCGAGUUAAACUAGCAAAGCUAAGGAAGUUGAUGGUGUGUCUUAGGAAAUCACUGAUUUCUAGCCAAAGUUCAUGGUUUUCUGUUAUGGGCUGGUGGGAUCAGUGGAAACUGAAUGGUGGAAUUGCCUGGAUGGGAGAAGUAGAAACACAAUAGGAUGGAUUCAGUUUGUAUCUUUAAGUGGCCUUUAAAAUAUUUUUCCAUUUUUUUUUUAAAGCAAGGUGGGUGGUAUGACAUUAUUAGAAGGACAGGCAGAUGGUGUCACUAAUUUGGAUUGUUUCCCAAAUGGUGCCUCUUGGCUCUGCUUCUUGGAUUUUGGAUGGUGUUCUGUGUGUCUUGGCUGGCCAGCAGCGUCUUCAGGUAAUAAGGUGGAAGGGAGGCUCAGCAGUGAGCUAGAAGUGGAAGCCCUUGUUGCUGUGGAAUAGGGGAAAUAUGUGUAAUUAGCAUCCUGAAAGUGGGAUUUGAGCCAAGCUAAUUAUGAGUUCUGCAAACUGCAAGUUCUGGAUGUCCCUGCAGAACUAAGCUGUGUAUUACAUUAGGAAAUUUUCAUGGGCCAACUGAGUUUCUACUGAAGGCAUAGCUAAAGGCCCUGUGGUGGACACCUUACCUCCUGGGAGCUCUUGCUUUCCUCUAUUAGUGUUGUGGUGUCCUGGUGUAUUCGUGUGCAUGUGUGUGUGUGUGUAGCUCUUUUAAUACAGGAUUUCCUGUGUUGAAAGAAUCCCCAUAGGUCCUCCUCAUCUCCCACUGAGAAUCUUAUAAUAGUCUCCUAAUUAAUGUAUUUCUAGUUCCAGCCUCACUUCUCUGCCUGAAAAACUUCCUUUGUUAUAUUCUGUGGAACAGUCCACUGGUGAUAAAUUAUCUUAGUUUUAGUCUGAUUUUUUUUAAAUGUCAUCUUUAUUUUUUAUGUAUAGAAUUCCAUGUUGGAAGUUUUCUCUUAGCACUUUCUAGUGCUUUCUAUUGUUUUGUUUAGAAAUCAGUCCUAGGGAAUGAAUUACUUCUCCUUUUAAGAUAAUAUGUCAAUAUUUUUUUUCCUGUGACUGCUUUUAAGAAUUCAUCUUUGUCUUUCGUUUACAACAGUUUUACAGUUACAUACCUAGGUAUGCUUCUCUUUGUAUUGAUAUAGUUUGUAGUUUGUAGGGUUUCUUGAAACUGUGGCUUACUUUUUAAAAAUCAUUUGUAUCCAGUUCUUCCUCUCCCCUCCCCUACUUUUUUUCUUGGACUUCAAUACAUACAUGUUACACUGUUGUCCUGUAAGCUUGAUAUUUAUUGUAUUAUUUUUCUGUUCUUGUCUCUCAAUGCUUCAAACUGUGUGCUUUUAUGUCUUAUUUUCCACUUCACUUGUUCUCUUUUCAACUCUGUCUAAUGUGCUAUGAAACAAUUCACUAUUGUUAUUAAUUUAAAAAUGCUAGCAUUUUUAAUUGGCUCUUAUUUAUUACUUUUAGUUUACCACAACCAAUCUCAGUUUCUUUUUUUUUUGAGACAGAGUCUCGCUCUGUUGCCAGGUUGGAGUGCAGUGGCAUGAUCUCAGCUCACUGCAAUCUCCACCUCCUGGGUUCAAGCGAUUCUCCUGCUUCAGCCUCCCAAGUAGCCAGGACUACAGGUGUGUACCACCAUGCCCAGCUAAUUUUUGUAUUUUUGGUAGAGAUGGGGUUUCACCAUGUUGGCCAGGAUGGUCUGGAUCUCUUGACCUCAUGAUCCACCUGCCUUGGCCUCUCAAAGUGCUGGGAUUACAGGCGUGAGCCACUGUGCCCAGCCAGUCUUUUUUUUUUUUUUUUUUUGUAAAACAGGGUCUCACUUUGUCACCCAGGCUGGAGUGCAGUGGUGCAAUCAUGGCUCACUGUAGCCUUGACUUAACUGGGCACUAGCUAUCCUUUUACCUCACUCUCCCAAGUAGCUGGAACUACAGGUGUGUGCCACCACACCUGGCUAAUUGUUUUUUUUUUUUUUUUUUUUUUUUGUAGGGGCAAUCUCCCAAUGUGCCUAAACUGGUCUCGAACUCCUGGGCUCAAGCUAUCUUCCAGCCUUGGCCUCUCAAAAUGCUGGGAUUACAAGUGCCUCCCACCAUGCCCAGGCAACAUCAGUCUUGUCUUUUAUUCUUUGACUAGGGUAACAAUAUUUAAAAUAUAUGUCUGAUAGCUGCAUUAUUUGGGUCUUCUUUGAGUCUGUUCAUAUUGUUUGUGUGAGUUUCUCUUAGUUUGCAGUCACAUUGCUUUGUUUGCUCAUGGACCUGGCCAUUUCUGAUUGAAUGCUGGUUAUUGUAUCUAUAAUUUGUAAUCAAUUUUAAAAUCUUAAAUAAUGGUAUCAUCCUCCAGAAAUCAUUUAUAUUGUUUCUAAAAGAAUGCUAGAGUGCUUUAGCAACUUUUCUUUUUCUUUUCUUUCUCUUUCUUUCUUUCUUUCUCUCUCUCUCUCUCUCUCUCUCUUUCUUUCUUUCUUUCUUUCUUUCUUUCUUUCUUUCUUUCUUUCUUUCUUUCUUUCUCUUUUUCUUUUUUUGAGAUGGAGUCUUGCUCUGUCGCCCAGGCUGGAGUAUGGUGGCACAAUCUUGGCUCACUGCAAGCUCCGCCCUUCAGAUUCAAGCAAUUCUCCUGCCUCAGCCCCACCAAGCAGCUGGGAUUACAGGUGCCCACCACCAUGCCUGGCUAAUUUUUGUAUUUUUAGUAGAGACGGGGUUUCACCAUGUUGGCCAGGCUGGUCUUGAACCCCUGACCUUAGGUGAUCUGCCCACCUUGGCCUCCCUAAGUGCUGGGAUUACAGGUGUGAGCCACUGCGCCCAGCCAGCAACUUUACUUUCAGCACCUCUUCUCGAAUUGGCUAAUGUGCUUGUAGAUACCUGGCCUCAAAUGCCAGGCUCAACAACCUGGGUUUAUUUCUUUAUCCAGAUAGCCCUCACUAACUUAACAUUUUGAUGCUUUUAAGCAAUUUUUUGAUUCAGUAUUUCUGGUUGAGCGAGACAGUUGGUCUACACUACUCAGUCUAUCAUUGCCAGAAGUAGAUAUAUAAAUGAUUAAUCUAAUCAUUAAUAAAAUUAAUUAUAAAUUAAUUACAAAUUACAUUAAAUUGGUGCAAAUUACAUUAAAUCCUAAAAAGUGGAGAACACAAACUUGUUAUUGGUGAAGAGGAAACUUUAAGAAACAUUUUUGGAAUAUUUCCACCUCUACUUCUAAUCAAACCAUUUACCAAUAGAGGGGUUAUAGAGGGGUUACUAGUAAUUUUGAUUAUUCUGAGAAGGUGUAUACAUGAAUAUGAAUUAUUGUAUUUAUCCAUCCCUUAGGUGCUCUUUCUUGCUAUAUGUGAUUUUCUUGACAAAACUGUAUCUCCAGUCCUAAUUACAAAAAUGUUUUUGAUUACUUAUUGAUGACAUUUCUGUCUCAAAGUAAUAUUUGUGAAUUAAGAUGACUUCAUUAGUUAUCGUCAAUUAUUAGAAGUACAGGGAGAGCAUUUGGCUGAAAUUUAAAUAGACCCAUGAAGUUAGUUAUUAUACUCUCUUAGAACUCCUCUUUCUACUCUGGGAGACAAGCCAUUUAAAUGACAAAGUGUUCUUGGAAGAAAAGCUCUAGACUGUCCCUGAUUGGCUACAGCCCUAUAUAUAGAGUUUAGAAAUAUGCAGACAAGACAUUGCCAACAUGGCCGAGUAAGAGAUACCAGCCAUGGCUGAAGGACUCAGAUAGGCCCACUCAAAAAGCCAUGUUUCAAGGCGGUGCAAUACAAUUCUUGAGAGAAAAAUCACAUGUACAUACAGAGAAUUGCAAUAGAGUGGGCCAGAAUAAACAAUAAUUCCAACUGUAGUACAUGGCUGCACUUGACCACCCUCUGAUGCAGCACCCCAGAUUGCUUACCUCCUUAUAGAAAUGAUAAAGAAGAUCCUGAUGGAUGGACGUCCAAGACUCUCUACUGUGGAAUCCUCUUCUAGGCUGAAUAUUUGGAGAAGAAAGUGUUUCUUUAUGAUGGAGAACCAUGUGAAAACUGAAGGUCUGACAGCAGACGAUGGAAAGUCCAAGGAAUUGGCAUUAGAAAGAGAAAAUAAUGCACUCUCAAGGGACGUUAGUGGUUCAAGGUAGGCCAUACCCUUUGGCACAGAGAGGCAUUGCACAGUGACUUAAUAUGAGUAGAACAAUGGCUGAACAAUGGUGCAGAAACACAGAGUUUUAGCCAAAAGAGAAGGAUGGUAGAGCCACAGUCACGGACUUGCAUUCUGUGUGAAGCAGAGCCCUCUUUACCCACUGGGGAUUCUUAGACUGACAUAAAAAAGAAAGGAUGAAAGCAUUCCUAUUUCUCCAUAGCCUCACCAGCAUCUGUUGUUUCUUGACUUUUUAAUAAUUGCCAGCCUGACUGGCAUGAGAUGGUAUCUCAUUGUGGUUUUGAUGUGUAUUUCUCUAAUGAUCAAUGAUGUCGAGCUUUUUUCAUGUUUGUUGACCACAUAAAUGUCUUCUUUUGAGAAGUGUCUGUUCAUAUCCUUUGCCCACUUUUUAACUGGGUUGUUUUCUCUAGUAGUUUUUUGAAUAUGAAUUAUUCUGUUAUAAAGAUAUAUGCACGUGUAUGUUCAUUGCAACACUGUUCACAAUAGCAAGGACACAGAAUCAACCCAAAUGCCCAUCAAUGAUAAACUGGAUAAAGAAAAUGUAAUACAUAUACAUCACGGAAUACUAUGCAGCCAUAAAAAUAAUAAGAUCAUGUCCUUUGCAGGGACAUGGAUGGAGUUCAAAGCCAUUAUCCUCAGCAAACUAAUGCAGGAACAGAAAACCAAACACUGCAGGUUCUCACUUAUAAGCGGGAGCUGAACAAUGAGAACAUAAACACAAGGAGGGGAAACAACAUACACUGGGGCCUGCCGGGGGAAGGUUGGGGGAGAGAGAGCAUUAGGAUAAAUAACUAAUUCAUGCUGGGCUUAAUACCUAGGUGAUGGGUUUGAUAGGUACAGCAAACCACCAUGGCACACAUUUACCUACGUAACAAACCUGGAUGCCCUGCACAUAUUCCCAUAACUUAAAAUAAAAUUAAAUAAGCAUGAGGUUCGUUAGUUCAGCUUUAAUUAUUUGAGGCCUUUAAUUAUGACCUGAUAUUGGGCAGAGCCUGGGGAAUAUUAUUGUUACAAGUAAACAUCCCUGAGGACGGUCAGAUACAGGGGAGGGUAAUCCUGGGCGAAGUCUGGGUUUUUUGCAAACCAAAUAAGUGGUGAUUCAAAACAUCUAUGAAUAUUGGCCAAAGAAGCUCGAACCCUUUAUGGUACAGGAGAAUAUUAAAAUGAAAAUAAUCAAUUUGAAAGAUACUUCAGCCAGUUUUAGCUCCUGCAAAUGUGUCGAAUACAGACAAUUCACUGUGACUUUCAAUCUGUCUUCUAUAAGUAGCUUCUUUAAUUUCCAUGAGCUGUUGUUCAUUAGAGGAGGAGAUUAUUGACAUUUAGAGUUUUCUCAAGGAUCAGAUUUUUGUUUGACUACUUAGAUGCUCUCUCUUCUGAGUAAAAUGUAUAUUGGUAAACCUUUGUGAGUUGAGAAAUUUAUAUAGCCCUUUUGGUAAGAAAUUGCACAUGUGGGUGUACGUUUGUUCUGUUUUCUCCAGUGGGUGUGAGGUCAUAGCAAGUGACCAAAGGCCACUGGAAUGGCUCAUCCAUAGGGUCAAAGGACUGAGGUCUAUGCAGGAAGUAUUCUUUCUGGGAUGUGGAAAGGAACCUAUUACCUAUUGGCUGUCUGUAACCUAUCUUGAUCUUCUCAAAUCUUGUUGUUAUUAUCAGUGACACAAGCAGAUAUUUAUAUAGAACACCACACAUUUUGCAGGUAAAAUUGGAACUCCCCUUUUUAUGCCUCAGAAAGUGCGUGCUGAUAAAUCACUAACUUACUUUAUUCUUUAAUUAUAAAGAAUAUGCCUGAAACAUACAGUGCUUCAGCCCUAGAUACAGAAGUCAGACAAUGAUAUAUUCAUGACAGAUUUAAGGGGUGAAGCUGAGGAGUGAAACCACCAAGAUGAUGACCAGUAGCUUCUGGGGCACAACACCCAUGGGGCCAGGAAGAGCAGUAUGGAGAGCUGACAGGCUAAAUGCUAAAGACGGGGUAGUGUUGUGUCCCACAAGGCUCUGGAGUUACCUGGGUCACGACUCCACUGCUGCUGCUUAUGAACUCUUACGCUUAUUGCAAAGCAUUUCAAUUCUGCAAGCCUUAGUUCCCUGAUUUGCAACAUUGGGAUAGUAUUAGGACUUUUGUGUUAUUAUUAAAUAGUAUAUCCAAAGUGCUUAUCUACCACAUAGAAUGAUUUAUAUAAUAACAAUAGCAAAUAGUUACUUUGAUUAAUUUUUAGGGAAGUCUUUAUGUUAAUCUUCUAAGAAGUAAAGAGAAAUGUCAAUCAUCCUUAUAUAAGUAUCUCAGGAUAAGGAAUAAGGAGAAAGAAAUUGUGUGAGGGAAGUCAUUCUGGAUAAGAUCAAUAUGUUGAUGUGUAUUACAUGAUCUAUAAGGAAUAGAAUAUCAGAAUAUUUUGGUGGAAUUUUGAGUCAGAACAAGAACCUGUUCACUUCUUACAGACAAUUACUAUCCUGGAGAAAAAUUAUGGUGAUAAAGAUAAAUAACAUGUAGGCGGUGACCAAGAAGCACCUAGGGAUGUGCCAAAUUAUUCCACUGUUUCAAAUAAAAAAUGGUAGAUGUAAUAGAUGACCCCUGGUAAAAGCAGAUGAUCUGAAAAUGCAUUAUGAAAGAAUAAGGUUUCCCCAAAGGUGCUAAGAAUUAAUGCUCUUGAAUAUUUUCUUUUCUUGAUGCAACCAUAUUUGUAAAUGUAAAUAGUUUCUUAUUUUGUAAAAACUGAGCAAAAAAUGUGUUUACCAACAAACAUUUGCAUGAGGUGAGGCUAGGGUUUUCACUGCACGGCAGGAUACAGCAUCUGCUCUGAAGAAACAUGUAGGGAACGUAAGUCAUUUCACACCCAACAGGACAUUGCUGUGGAGCUAUACUUAUCUGAUAAAGCCAUAAACAUAACCAGAUGAGGAAUGCCAUUUUCAUGCAUGGAAACACAAUCUAACUUCAUACUAAUUCACAGUUUGCAUGUCAUCUGUUUUCUGAUUUGGAGUUUUGUCCAAAAGCAAUACAAUUUUGAUAUGACCAUAUUUUAAAGGCAUGAGAACAUCCAUCUGGGACAGUUUUUAUGAUUUUCAUCCUGCAACAUGGAAUAGAAUGUCUGAUAAUAGAAGACACUAUAUUGAUAUGUGGUCAUUUUGCUGUAAAAGACCAUCUGCCUACCUCUGUACAACAUGGUUGAAGAAGCAUAAAGUGAAGACUCAAAUCCCUUUACACUCUUGAAGACCAGAUGCCUUUAUGACAUGACUGAUGGGUGGGGUAAAUUCAUCCCAGUUCCCAUCCGGUGGGUAGACACUAGGUAAUAGGCAAAAGAGCCAGCUGCCAAGAAUCCAAAGCACCAUUGCAUUUUAGAAUUUCUGCGUAGCAUUUUAUUCAAAUUCAGCAGGAAGCUGAAACUUUUUAGACUAAUGAUUUUAUGAAGAACCUUAGAGAAAUGUGACUGUCAGAAAAUGUAGCUGUUUGGUAUGUUACACUAACUAUGGCUAACUCUUUAAAAAUGCUAUAUUGAAUUUUGGAAUAAGUUCAAUGCUUCUUUUCUUGGAAAAGCAUGGACUUGGUGUUAAAUGUAAUGCAGUGGACCAAGAGUUCAAGAGUGAACCACUUUAAUCCUGCUUCCAGAGAUGGUGUGCUCUGUAACCUUGGGCAAUAUAUUUAACCCGCAUAGGGAAAAGGAAAAGUGUUCUAAAGCAGUUCCCUCCAAGACAGAAUAAUUUUACAAUGCUUGACAGGGCAUUGGGUGCAAUGAAAAUUAAAAAUAACAAUGACUGUUCUUCAAAGACAUUGCUGAAGUGUUUUAAUAUCCUGUCCAAUUAGAGAAAAUAUGAGAAAUGAGCCUCUCUGAUUCUCACGUUUGGCUGGAAAUCUUGGCUGGCUAUGGGGACAAUCUGUUACUGCUGGCUGUUGCUCUGGGGGUGGGUUAAUGCCAGCCAUUCAGAUGCUCACUAAAAUCUGUAUUCUUGUGGAAUGGUGAUUUUCUGCUUCCAGUGAUCAGCUUGUGACUCUUUGUAGCACAAGCAAAAAAGCCUCAUUUUCAACCCUUCGGCCUUCUUGGAGUUUUGGGCCUGCAGCUCAGACUCCCUGUACUUCUUGAAGCUCAUUAGUCAGUUCACAGCCAUCUGUCUUUGUACCAUUAACCCACCGAUUGGACACUCCACAGUUGUUUUCUGUGUCUGUUCUGGUAAAUUAUGUGCCACAGCUGUUAUGCACUCUGAGGUACAUGCUGUUCUAAUGACAGCUCCUUCAGAAAAGAUCUGGAUGGAGAAUACCUCUGUGUGAAUCUGAAGCUGUGGAAGUUUGGUCCUUGGCUGGGAGGGGCAUGGAGGGAGGGUUUGAAUAAGGGCAAUCCUUGAUUUUGCUAUAGGAUGACUGUGACGAUGGAAAAGUAUCAUUCUUCAGUGACCAGUGGAUCAGAUGAGAAUACAGGGAAGCAUAAGAGAAAAUCAAAUGGAGGCUAGAGCAAUUUUCUGGCCUUGGAAGAAAAAUAAUUGCACAAAGGAGAGUGGUAACUUGCGAAUAGUUAGCAGUAAGAGUGUGAGUUUCCUCUCUUCCUUUUCUCUAACUUAAUCUGUCCAGUCCACAUUAUGGGUGAGCUCCCUAAAUGCUAUGCAUGCUGCUUGGAUAGGAUAAAAAGAAAUUGAUAAAACCUGCCUGUAGUUCCCUGGACGGCUUGAUAUGACUGGGGAUGCAGAGCUAGCAACCUUCCUAAGGAGAGAAGGCAGCCUACUGGGGGCAGGGCUCUAUUGGAUUUUUCUGUUCAUUCUCCAGACACUGUGGAAGACUUUUAGGAAGUGCUGGGGGAUGAGAGUACCUGAAGGUAGUGCUUGCUGCCUCAAGAGAGAGAAAGUGACAGUGGCUGGAUGUGAAGUAGUGAAGAGACGUAUACUCUCUCCUACUUAUUUAUGUAUUCAAUUUUUAAUAAAUAUGCAUUUAUGGAUAUGUAUUUUAUUCUGUGGGUCUUAGUACAACGUUAUUUUGCUGCUCCAAUUUCUCUAUUUUGACUAUUAGGAGCCCCUUGAGAUUGCUCCCUGUGUCUAGAAUCGACUGUAUUUUCUCUGCGUCAGUCCUGGGAUCAACCACUUCUCUAAAAGGUCCUGAUUUCCUUUAUUAGAGAAUGGAGUUUGGAAACCAAGAUCUGAGGGCCAGGUACAUUUGUUGCUGUUAAGAUAUUAUUGCUUCUUUGUCCUUUCAGUGGGCGAAACUAGGAAAUAUAUAUAUAUAUAUAUAUAUAUAUAUAUAUAUAUAUAUAUAUGUAUACUAAGUCAUACAUACACAUGCAUCUGUAUUUAGUUCUGUAUCUGUCUGUGCAUGUAUUGAAAUUCAUGUUUAUACCAUUACCUCUCAUUGCAAUCCAACAAAAUUGAGUCCUUUUUCCUUUUCUUUGUAACUUCCUUCACUGUAAGAAAUUUGACUAGCAGUGCUGAUAAUAUACUUACUGAUUUAUUCAAACCUAGUAUACAUAUAAAGUAGUUUCAGUUGCUGAUUUAUGCCUCUGUGAGAAACACAUUUACUAACUAGAUUACAGUAUUUGUAUAUAGGAUUUUUGUCUUUUGGAUCUAAACUUAUUUUGAUAAUACAUUUAUUUCCUCUCAAAUUUAGUUUUCAAGAUGACCUUCUCCAGUAUCAGCUAUAGUGAGAUAAUUAUCGCAUAAAUUGACUUUUGGUGGCACAGGUUAUCACUGGAACACAGAAAUGUGCACACUGGCUACAGAUAACAAAGAUAUCUGUAAUAUGAAGGAAAAAGGUUUCACCUAUGUUUGCUUAUUCUUAAUUGGAAGUAUAUACUUUGUUAUAACUUUGUGCUUUUUUGUCCAGUAUCAGCUCAAAAAUCAAUAUUUCUUUGAAGUCUCAGAGCAACAUACUAAAUUUUUACAGGAAGCCCAUACUAUCAACACACAUUUUAGAUUUCAGUUAUAAGAUUAGUAUAUCAAAAUGACUCCAAAAUUCACUGCAACUACCCUUUUGAAUGGAACUCAUCUCCUUGGGAGUGUUUCAUAAUAAUUGAUAUUAAUCUAUACUAUAUCUCUGCAUCUAUAUUAUGUGGUAUCUUCCUAUGAGUUAUUUUUACAAUUUAUAAGCCCUAAGACGGGUUUUUUCCUAAGUGGCAUUUUUUUUCAAAUCCAAAUAAUAUACAGGCAAUUCUUGAAAAUCUGCUGAAAAUUAUAAGAACACAAUGACAUUUAUACCUAUUAAGAAGGCAAAGAUUAGGUAAUAAGAAUGAAUAAAAGCAAUUCAUUUAUUCAAUAUGUAUUGAGUCCCUACUCUAUGCUAGGUGCUGAGAAAAGAGUUGUAAUUAAAAUAAACAAAAAAACUGUCUUCAUGGAAUUCAUAUUCCAGUGGGAGAAAGAUGGGUAAUAACUAAGUAUAUAGUGUAGUAUUAUUGGAAGGCAGUAAGUGAUACAGAGCAAAGAAAGCAGGGAAGGUGGACAGGGAAAUUUAGGGCCUGGGUUGAGUUAUAAACUUAAUUAGGGUGGUCAGGGAAGUUACUGAAACAGUGACACUUGGGCAUUUGAAAGAUGGGAGGGAAGAAGCCAUGGGGAAUCUGGGCAAUCAUAAAGAUCUCAAGGUAGGAAUGUGUCUCAAGGAGCAUCACAGAGGUCAGAGUGGCUGGAGUGGAAUGAAUUAUAGGGAGUAUUAAGAGAUGAAGUGGGAAAGGCAGUGAGGUGAGGUGCAGGGGCAAACAAUGAGAAGCAGGAUGACGGGAAUGUCUUGAAGCCAUUGCCCAGCCAUAGCUUUUACUUUAUUUGCAAAGGCAAGCCACUGGAGGGUUUUGAUCAGAUGCUAGAUGUGAUCAAGAUCUUGUUAUUGCCAAAUAACUACAACUGUCCCACAAACUCGAUUGCAUGCAUCUCACUGAUUAUGAUCUCUUAUUUUCCCAAUUUACUUCAUCGAGAACCCCAACUUCAAUGAUCCUUUGAUCCUGCCAGGACCUCCAGUUCAUUGAUCUCAAUCUUUCCUUGUUCCUUAUCCCCUGAUACCCUCUCCCUACUUGUUAGUUUGGUGAAAUCCUAUGGUCAGUCAUUAUAAUCACUUAGUUGACUACAGCUGAAAGUCUCUUGCCCUUCUUUUUUACUUUCCUCUGUGGUUGCUUGGCAAAAUCACAACCUUGAUUCAGUUCAACUUUUUGCAUUCCACACCUGCACUCGUGCAACUAAAUGUAGCUGGAGGGAAAAACGCAUCUUCCUGGACUGGUCUGACUUUAAAUUAGUAAGAAUGAAUCUCAAAUGCACUCAAUGUCACCAGGCAUUUGUAAGAGGGUUUAUUGGGCUAGUCUGAUUUUAAAUCAGUGAUAAUGAACCUCAAAUGCACUCAGUGUUACCAGGCAUUUGUAAGAGGCUUUACACUCCCAGGAGUUAUCAUUCACCCUCCUUCUCUCCUAGAUGAUUUACUGUCUUCUUGUUUUGCCUUAAACUUGAAACACAUUUCCCCUAUCUUUCCCUCCUUGCUUUCUACUUUACUAAAAUGAUUCGAAAAUCAGAAGAGACCCUCCAUAGACUUUUGCAUCCAACUAUACACCACCAGUAUCUGCCACAUCUUGCAUUCUUGCCUGUAACCAGAGGUAAACUGUAAUGCUCCAAUCUAAAUCCAAAGCCAAUCUGUCUACAUUAUUGACUGGAUCCCAUUUUUCAUCACUCCUUCCAUCCCACAAAAAUCAAUCUUUUUACUCACACAACUGGGUCAUACUCAUUAAUAUGCUGGUGUUUCUUUCAUUAAAAAAUUUUAUAAAACCACCUUCCUUCAACUUCUCUUCCCUCCCCAGUCCAUUAGUUCUCUGCUUUGCAGCACAAUUCUAUAAAAACUUUGUCUCUGUUCCAGCCAGGCACGGCGGCUCAUGCUUGUAAUAUCAGCACUUUGGGAGGCCAAGGCGGGUGGAUCACCUGAGGUCGGGAGUUCAAGACCAGCCUGACCAACAUAGAGAAACCCUGUCACUACUAAAAAUACAAAAUUAGCUGGGCAUGGUGGCAUUAGAUGCCUCUAAUCCCAGCUACUCCGGAGGCUGAGGCAUGAGAAUUGCUUGAUUGCAGGAGGUGGAGGUUGCAGUGAGCUGAGAUCACACCAUUGCACUCCAGCCUGGGCAACAAGAGUGAAACUCUGUCUGAAAAACAAACAAAGCAAAACAACAAAAAAGCUUUGUUUCUGCUCGUUGACUCCAUAUUCUCUCUUCCCUUCUGACUUGGAUUUAUCUCAAUCAGGCCUUGCAUUUUUCUCAAUCACUCUAUUAAAGUUGCUCUUGUCGAGGCCUUAAGGUCAUAUUAUUUAAUUCACUGCUGAAUUCUCAGCUUCGUAUUACUUGGCCUUUCAGCAGGAUUUGUUAACAGUUGAUCAUUUACUCCUCUUCACUUGACUUCCAGGACACCGUACUCACCUGGUUGUUUUCUUAUCUUUUUGAUGGCUCUUCCUCAGGCUCCUUUGCUGAUUCCUUCUCUUUCCCUCCACCCUAAUAAUAAAGACCCCUGAGACUUAGUUCAUGAUUCUCUUCUUUAUUAAUAAUUACUUUCUUGAUCUCAGCCAUUUCAUGGCCUUAAGUACUCUCUAUAUGUCAACGACUCCCAAAUGUACAUUUUGAACACAUACCUUUCUCUCACAUCUCAUCUUCAUCCAUUAGAACAUUAUUUUGGCUCUACUUUGAGAAUAUAUUCAGCAUAUUCAUUGCUAACUACUAAUCACCACCCCUAGUACCAUCGCCUUGAUCUGUAGCCAUCAUCAUCUCCCACCUGAAUUAUUACCAUAGCCUCAGAGUUGGUCUUUUUGAUUCAAUUUCCCUACACAUUCUGUCAGCUCAGUGGACAGCAGAUGAAAUGAGAAUAGACUCUAAGAGGUGGACAGGUGGAAGCAGAGAAAUCUGAAGAGAGGUCAGAUAAAGGUGUUGAGUGAGAAUCAGAUUCUGGAAACAUUUUGAUAUUUUGAAGGCAGUUCAAUAGGAUUUGUGGAUGAGAGAAGUCAAGAGUGCCUUUGAGGUUUUUGGCCUGAGCAAUUGAAAGCAUGGAGUGUGGUGAAAGAGGUGGGAUCCCACACUGCUAAUGAAUAUUUAAAUUUUAUAAUUUUUGAAAAGCAUCAUGAAAAUCUGUAUCAUGAGCCUUUAAAUAUUCAUACUUUUUUAACCACUGGUCCUAUUUAGAUGGUU